AGGGUUUGAUCCUGGCUCAGGACGAACGCUGGCGGCGCGCCUAACACAUGCAAGUCGAACGGAACCCUUACUGAGAAAUUUUCGGAUGGAUCGGGAAGGCGUUUAGUGGCGGACGGGUGAGUAACACGUGAGCAACCUGCCUUUCAGAGGGGGAUAACAGUUGGAAACGACUGCUAAUACCGCAUAAUAUACCGAGACGGCAUCGUCAUGGUAUCAAAGGAGCAAUCCGCUGAAAGAUGGGCUCGCGGCCGAUUAGCUAGUUGGUGAGGUAAAGGCCCACCAAGGCGACGAUCGGUAGCCGGACUGAGAGGUUGAACGGCCACAUUGGGACUGAGACACGGCCCAG
rnacentral:rRNA from 1 species